UCCCUCCUCCCGGGCAUAAACAAACCUCGCCUGGCUCUGCUCUCCGGCGGGUGAACGCACGCGCGUCCUCGCGGCUCUCCUUGGUUCCCGCCUGGCACCGCCAGCCUCGCUUCGGCUCCUGUUGGCCUUUCUCUCUCUACCUUGGGCAGGUGACAUCAGAGAUAUGUCUCGCGAGCUGCAGGAUGUGGACCUCGCGGAGGUGAAGCCUUUGGUGGAGAAAGGGGAGACCAUCACCGGCCUCCUGCAAGAGUUUGAUGUUCAGGCAAGUAGAGGAUGUGCACUCCCAUUCCCCUUCCCGACUCUGUUCUCUCUUUCCUUCUUCCUUCCAUUGGCUCGAAGUAGAUCGUUGUCCAGACACUGGGGUCGAGGGCAGAGAAGGAGCUAGUUUCCUCCACUCAGAUCCUCCUCUCCGGAUGGAAGCUGGCUUGAGUUCUGGCCAAGGAAGCCUAUCACUCCUUGCAGAAGCAGGAUGGGGACACAGCCCGCUUUGACCCUUCAGAGCUAGGCAGAGCUAUGGGGUGUGUGCAGCGGGGAAUGGGGAGACAUCGGAUGGCCUUGGGCCCCUGAGGGAACAGAAGCAAAGGCUUGAUGUUGUUGAUUCUGCUUAAGAAAAUGAAACCAACCUUCUCUGUGGCUUCCUGGCUCCACCCCUGCCCAGGGUUGGCUGAGGUGGGGGGGUGAGAGGGUGGAGGGAGGGGCCUGUGCAUCUUGAGUUUUGUCCAAGAACAAACUUUCAGGAGAGUGGACUUGCCUCUCUUGGCUGAGGGGCAGGUUAGAGCCUCAGGAACUGUAAACCCUGGACUCAUUAAUUAUCUCAAACUUUGCGUGGGACCCAGCUCCGGGGCUGGGACAGGUAACCUGAGCACAGUGGGGUCUCGUAGGCUUCCCCGAGAAGAGAAGAGAGGAGCACACAUGGGCCAGACGCAGGCUGGCAUGCUCACCUGAACUCCUUGCACAUCACACAGGUAUCCCCGGCUUCCAGCCCAUUCUGAGCGCCGUAUCUCUGUCACCUAUCCCGCCCCCUUCCCCCAGAACAACUCCACUCUUCCUCCUGAAUCUUGGAUGUCAGUGAUUGGCCCACCAUCCAUCCAGAGGCUGGGAAUGUUGGCACUGACUUUGGAAG